GCGGGGUUAGGCAGUAAAAAACUAAAAACGAAACGAUCGAUCGUUUCGUCUAAGCGAUAGCGUCUCUCGUUUUUCCGUGUAAGGCUAGGCAGUAACAGACGACAGUCGCUUUCGUGCAGACGAAGGUGAAUCGUCAAAAAAAACAAAUUAUUGUCUAUACUUGACGAUCAACAUUGUGUCAUUUGAAUUUGACGUAUAAAGGUCAAAUAUUCUCGCGGUAAAAAUACAAAAGUUUAGUGAAGUGUUUAUGUUUCAAUUUACGUUUUGUAAAAUGAAUUCUUAAAACGCAAGCAAUGAGCAAAUCGCCAUAAUGGUGGAAUUUAUGGAAAGGUACGUCAAUAACGUAUUUAAAAUGGUAAACACCCCGCAGGGAAGAGUGAGGCGCCAGGAACUUUGCCAACUAUUAAAGAUGUUGCUGGGUAAGGCAGGUAGUGAUCCUGACAAGUCUAUGGAGCAAUGGAUCAAGGACUACCAGUAGAGGAACAGUCAAAUGAGGAGCCUCCAGUUGAGGAACCAUCUAUCCAAAUACAAAUUUUGGAGCAGAUCACUGACAAUGAUGAACAAAAUGAUAUAUAUGUUGCCUCCUCUUCAAGAGUAUAGCUGCCCCAUCAUCAGUUCAAAGGAGAGGGAAAUGGCAUCCAGGACCCUCACUCACUGGCUUAUUAAUGUAAUGCUUAUGCUUUGAGAUGCAGUCUCAAAUGCAAAAACAUGUAACAUUUACAUUGGUUUUGGUUGUAACUUGUGUAAUUAAUGUUUAAGUGAAUAUUGAAAUAAAAAAUAAUUGUAUAUAAAUAAAGUUU